rnacentral:lncRNA from 1 species
CAACUCAUUUGUGCAUGCAUGAAUGGCUAGAUCUGAAACCAAAAAAAGAUGUCAUUAGAAACCUGAUGAAUAGUAAAUAAGAUUCACAAUAAAGAAAAUAACCUUUCAUAAUAAAAAACAAUAGUAAUCAUAAGAUAAAAUGAAUCUCAAUUCUACCUUGAUGUUUAUGAUUUGCUCUUUAUAUACCACUCCUCUUGUAGGUGACAAAAUAUCAAUAUCCUAUUCCAAGUUGAAGUUUUUACAUGGUUCCACACGUUUAACACAAUUAGGUAUUAUACAUUUUAAGUUAAAAAAACUCCUGCAAUUAAAAUUUUGAUAUUCAAAAAAUAAACCUUAAAAAAUGUAUAGGAAAAAGAACCAAUCAAAUAGAAGCAUAUUUCGUCCCUUUUCAAUAGAGUGGUCAUACCACUCUAAAUCAUGGCAAAUUCUUUACAAAAGAGAGAUUAUACCACUCUCAAUCAAAUAGAAGCACAUUUUAUUCCUUUUUAAUAAGCCUUACAUCAAAUAAAUGGCAGUAGAGUAAGAAGCAACAUCACCAUAGAUUGAACAAAAAUAUAAUAGAUCUGGAAUCCGAAAAUGAAUUGAAAAUAAAUCUGGAAUCCAAAAACUAAAAUGGAUCUGAAGUGCUUACCUUCGCUGCAGUCGUGUGCUCUGCUUCAUCGAUCUUUGUCGUCGCUAGGUUUGUGAACUUGGACAAACAAUAACAGAGAAAUCAAGGAAUCAAAGAACCGCAUAAUGAGGAGUUUUCAAAUACAAUCAAGCUAUGUACCUCACCAUCAAGGAAUGACAAUAAUUCAAGGAAUCAAAAUAAAAGUAAUUAAAAAUAUCAAACUAUAAUUGAUCUACUUAUAAAGGCAUCACAAAAUAAAUAAAAAUUGAAGAGAAAUGUGAAACCUGAAACCAAUAGUUAGCAAAAAUGAUAAAAAAAAUUAUAAGUUGUGGUACUUAUAAUCAUUUCAUUGGCACUUGGUUGUUGGAUCAAAAACUAAACCAUGGAAAUUCAUAAACCUGACCCCUCUAAUCAGUGUCUUCAUUCUCUCGAUUCAAAUAAGCUAUAAGCUAUUUCGAAAUAAAGUAAACUAAAAAAGAUGUAACCACCUAUUAAAUUCAUGUGUGAAGCAAAUCCAUCCACUAAUUUCAAAGUCAGGUAAAAAAUUAAGGAAAUAGAGAGUAGCAAAAGCAAAUCCCUUCUAACUCUAUAAAUUCAAACUCUAGUUUAAUCCAUACAAAAAAAAAUUAUUAUUAAAACAUGUCAAAUUACAUUUUUUAAUCAAACUCUAAUUCCAAAACACCAUGAAUGAACUUUGAUUAGGAUUUAGAAAAUUAGGGAUUUCGGAACAAAAAAACGCCAAUUAAAUGUUACCAGAAAAAUAGGCUUGACAUAGUUUGCGAAUCAUCCGAAUCAGCAACCCCAUGUCAGAAUCUAUCACGACCAAGAUCUUCGGCGAUUUUGGCGGUGAAACUGAAACAACAAACAUAAAAACAAAAUCAUAUUCAUUUGAAAUCAAUAGAGUUAGAAAAACAGUUAUUAUAGCAAAAUAUUUAAACAAUAUAUUUAGAAAAUCAAAAGACAUACUUUGUUUUUUGAGAAGCCCUUUGAACAUUCAUUUAUGAAGAUAGCUGCAAAGA